rnacentral:rRNA from 1 species
UGGGAGGAAAGCAGGGGAUCGUAAGACCUUGCGCUUUUGGAGCGGCCGAUGUCUGAUUAGCUAGUUGGUGGGGUAAUGGCCUACCAAAGCUUCGAUCAGUAGCUGGUCUGAGAGGACGGCCAGCCACACUGGGACUGAGACACGACCCAGACUCCUACGGGAGGCAGCAGUGGGGAAUUUUGGACAAUGGGCGCAAGCCUGAUCCAGCCAUGCCGCGUGAGUGAAGAAGGCCUUCGGGUUGUAAAGCUCUUUCAGCCGGGAAGAAAAGGCUGCGACUAAUAAUCGCAGUUCAUGACGGUACCGGAAGAAGAAGCACCGGCUAACUACGUGCCAGCAGCCGCGGUAAUACGUAGGGUGCGAGCGUUAAUCGGAAUUACUGGGCGUAAAGGGUGCGCAGGCGGUUUUGUAAGUCAGAUGUGA